rnacentral:rRNA from 1 species
CCCUGACCGAGCAACGCCGCGUGGAGGAUGACGGUUUUCGGAUUGUAAACUCCUUUUCUCAGGGAAGAGCGAGGACGGUACCUGGGGAAUAAGUCACGGCUAACUACGUGCCAGCAGCCGCGGUAAUACGUAGGUGGCAAGCGUUAUCCGGAAUUACUGGGCGUAAAGCGCACGCAGGUGGCUGCUUAAGUCUGACGUGAAAGCUCCUGGCUUAACUGGGAGAGGUCGUUGGAGACUGGGCGGCUUGAGGCGAGGAGAGGGGUGUAGAAUUCCCGGUAGUGGUGGAAUGCGUAGAGAUCGGGAGGAAUACCAGUGGCGAAAGCGGCACCCUGGCCUUGGCCUGACGCUCAGGUGCGAAAGCGUGGGGAGCGAACGGGAUUAGAUACCCCCGGUAGUCCACGCGGUAAACGAUGAAUACUAGGUGUAGGUGGUCUCAAAACUAUCUGUACCGCAGCUAACGCGAUAGUAUUCCGCCUGGGGAGUACGACCGCAAGGUU